rnacentral:lncRNA from 1 species
UCUGCUUGUACAAUAAUAUUGUUCUUCCAAAAAAUAAUGAUAAAAUGAAAUAUACUUAAUAUUAACUAAAUUGAGUAGAUAUAUGGUGUGAAUUCGAAUCUAACUUAUUUUUUCAUUUGUAUUUGAGAAUAUUCAACUUUUUAUUCAUAUCUGGCAAAAAAUUAAUAUCUGAAAUCUAGUUGUACCGAUUUAUUUCCACCUCUACCGCCUAUGCGGCAACACCUAGGAAUCUCGCCUGGCUAAGUGCAAUUUUUUGAAAAGGUCAGCAGCGGAGUCCCCUACCUAUAUUUUUGCUUUUCAUUAAUAAAGAAUAAAAGAAUGUACAGAAGGGAAAAAUACAGAGAAAGGAGGAGGAAAAAGUACAAGGCAUCUAGGCCCAAAAAACAAAAAAAGAGAGGAAAACA